AUGUUGAACCGUCAUACUGGAGAAAUAUAUUUGUAUUAAACGGUGCUUUGGAGAGACGCGAUGGUUCCGGUAGGGGUGGUGACCGAAGUUGCAUUUUGUAGUGUUAUAUAAUUAACUUAGUUGUCAACAUAGUUAUUGUUGAUACUUGGCUUUUGGUAGCAGUAAGUAGUAACUUAAUAACUGAUGAUCGCCAAAGUUAAUCAAAGUUGCUACUGAUCACAAUUCCCACCGAUAAACACAUUACUACUGACAAUCAAUUCUCACCAACGAUCAGUAAUAACUUGUGAAACAAGCAACCACCCUCAACCUCGUUACCCCGCUUGGGAUGCUACCUCCGAAUGCCCGACAAGGGUCUCUUUCUCUAGGACCAUGUUAGUUGUUAGGGGCGCGACCCCCUUUGAACCCCAGGUUCAUCAAUGGUGAAAAUCAAAAAACGCCCCAAUGGUGUUCAAAGAUAGAGAGGUCACCAAUGUAAAGGAAACUCAGAGAAACGGAUACAAGAUGUAGGUUGCUACGUUGGCAUGGUGGUAAAAAUGGAGUUGUUUGCAAUGAGUAGAUGAUGAGUUCUAAUUGUUGGACAUGUGUAGGGCUGUAAACGAACCGAACUAACAUUCACAAGGUCUUGUUCGUGUUCGUACGUUAAGGAAUGAACACGUUCAUGAACUGUUCACGAAUGCUUAUCGAACGAGAUUUCUUGUUCUUGUUCGUUCAUUAAAGAAAUGAACGCGUUCACGAAAUUGUGGAUGGCAAAUCAAGACAUUUUCAGCACAUAUGAGAGAAACAAACAAUUAUUCCCCUAGCAAAAUACCAUUUCUGAAUUAUGUUUCACGUCAAGAAAAUGUAUACAACCAUUUGUCCUGGUAGAAACGAGUAAAAACUCAUCGAACAGUAAGCAAAACAUAAAAUACCACGUCCCGUGUGGGUCCACUCGGAAUCAUCAUCAAUUAUUCAAAACAAAAAUCACUACCUCAUUCACUUCUCCUUUUAGUGGUGUGCCUUGGCUUCAGCUUUUCUUUGCGAGUUAGCCUUUGCCUGAAAAAUAUACAAUUCGUGCAUAAAAAGUUGGUAAUGAAUCAGCAACCAGAGUAUGAGUGUGAAUUUUUGACACAACAAGAACCUAACACAAAAUUCACGGGUUUAAGUUUAGUUUAGUCCGAUUCAGGGGCUGAGAAGCUAAAAAGGCUGCGCCUCAGGGGUUUUUGAUAUUUGUUUUUGAGUUGUUGUCAAUUUCAAGCAAUUUAUGUCUCUUUUAUGUGUGUUUUUGAUUAUUUUGAUGAAUUUGAUGAUGAAUUUAGUUAGU
rnacentral:lncRNA from 1 species